CCUACGGGAGGCAGCAGUGGGGAAUUUUGGACAAUGGGCGAAAGCCUGAUCCAGCAAUGCCGCGUGCAGGAAGAAGGCCUUCGGGUUGUAAACUGCUUUUGUACGGAACGAAACGGUCUGCUUUAAUACAGUGGGCUAAUGACGGUACCGUAAGAAUAAGCACCGGCUAACUACGUGCCAGCAGCCGCGGUAAUACGUAGGGUGCGAGCGUUAAUCGGAAUUACUGGGCGUAAAGCGUGCGCAGGCGGUUAUAUAAGACAGUUGUGAAAUCCCCGGGCUCAACCUGGGAAUUGCAUCUGUGACUGUAUAGCUAGAGUACGGUAGAGGGGGAUGGAAUUCCGCGUGUAGCAGUGAAAUGCGUAGAUAUGCGGAGGAACACCGAUGGCGAAGGCAAUCCCCUGGACCUGUACUGACGCUCAUGCACGAAAGCGUGGGGAGCAAACAGGAUUAGAUACCCUGGUAGUCCACGCCCUAAACGAUGUCAACUGGUUGUUGGGUGCAUUAGUACUCAGUAACGAAGCUAACGCGUGAAGUUGACCGCCUGGGGAGUCGGCCGCAAGGUUGAAACUCAAAUGAAUUGACCGGNUGAGAGNGCGACGACGACGACGAGGGAGGAGG
rnacentral:rRNA from 1 species